GGGCACUUGGCUCAGCUGGUUAGAGCGCACGGUUCACAUCCGUGAGGUCGGGGGUUCGAAUCCCUCAGUGCCCA
rnacentral:tRNA from 1 species